ACGUUGCCCUGGGUUAUAUCAAGAAGUGUCUCAACCUCGACCCCAAUCCUCUGCUGAGUGUAUCCAGGUUGUGUCUGCCUGGAGCUAUUUAACGUCCCGGAGGAAGAGGAGGCGGAGGAGCUGUCCAGGGCGCCGCGGUGCUGAAACGCUGCUGACGGGGUCGUGAUCGCAUCAGCAAGUGGGUGAGCAGGCUGGCAGUCAGGAGUUGACCGUGACGGUUAAGAACCGUUGUGACUCCUCGGGCACGUCUGGACGCCCUUCAAAGUCGAGGAGACAGAACAGAGACAGACGGCCUGCCCUGAAGGAUCAUGGGAAGUGUGCAGGGUAGCAUGACGGCUGUUGAUAUUGUAGGGCUUGUUUUACAGGAACACUUAAUGGAGGCGAAUCUGUGAAUGAUUCAGGCAUCCCAGAGCCUGAGGGGUCAUUUUCAUGUCUCGAUAUUUCAUAUUUUAGUAAGCUAAUAAAUGUUGGUGCUAAA